rnacentral:tRNA from 1 species
GGCAGCAUGCCCGAGCGGCCGAAGGGGCCUGACUGUAAAUCAGGUGUAUUCACCACCGGAGGUUCGAAUCCUCCUGCUGCCACCC